UGUGACAUGGAAACUGUGCUGCCUGGUGACUCAGACCUGAAAUCAGGAGGAGGAAGUACUCAGGCGGUAGCAGGAUGAUUUAUAAAAGAUGACAAUCAGCUCCAGGUCUGCAAUAACCCACACUGGUCUUGCCUACGUGAGAACACCCUGAUUCGCCUCUUCGGUCAUAAAUGUUGACGCCAUCAAAAUG